rnacentral:siRNA from 1 species
UUUUGGGUGUUAGUUCGGC